UCCCUGGUGUCUCAGACAGUGAAGAAUCUGCCUGCAAUGCGGGAGACCCAGGUUCGAUCCCUGGGUUGGGAA
rfam:TPA: Bos taurus chromosome 11, whole genome shotgun sequence.